AUGAACCUCAUUUUGAAACUCCUGAUAUAGUUUCAUUCAUACAACUUUGAUGACAUUUUUUUUUAUUCAGUAUCAGCUGAUUGUGCAUUCUACAUGGUUUUCCUCACAUACCUGUAGGCAGUACUUCAAAAUGCGUCAGAUACGGCAUGCUAAGACAGACUGGGUGGAUGUGAAAUGUUUUGAAGCACAUUAACCAAGAAGACGGUUACAGCCGCAGAGUUUAUGUCAUGCAGAUGGCUAAGGAAGUAGUGGAGGCUUUUCCUCAGACACCAUUGAAAAUCAUAAUACCUUCAUGUAAGCGCAGCCUCGCAGAGCUUCGUAAGGACAUGGCUGUAACAAUCCUACAAGCAUCAGGUAUGUUUUGCAUCUGUCAAUCCAUCCAUCCAUCCAUCCAUCUAUCUAUCUGUAUGUUAAAGUUUGAACAGUUUAAAGAGAAAACUGAUUUGUAAUAUUGUGAUUACAGUGUUCAACCCAAAGGAACAUUGCUCCUUUUGUUGCCUACUUUCUCCUCCUGGACGUGUUGGUCUGAACACAUGGGUUUAUGUCAUUUUUAAUAGCAAUUGGCUAAUUAUAUUAGCUAUUACACAUAGAGUCCCUGUUGUCAAUUAUAAAAUUAAUUACAUAAUUAGUCAAACUGAAAUGUAAUGCUUUUGCAGUCAAAGUAACAUUAUUGCAAAUGUUACGUUUUAAUUUGUAUGGAAACAUAGACUGUAUAAAAAAUGUUUAAAUAAUAUGUUUACAUUUAGAAAGCUAUAUUUGUUAUUACUGAAGUGUUACAAAUGUAGGAAAGCCUGUCUAUAACUUUAAAUGUAUUCUUUUUUUCAAAUAUGAAAACAUAAAAAGGUUAUUUAUCACUUCUCUCCCCAAACAGAUUCAGUGCAGCAAAUGUGAAAGGUGGUUUCACUUUCAGUCUGUCAACAUAAAAAAGAAGACCUACACAAAUUUAAAAGAAGAAAGUGGUUGUGUACAGUCUGUGAGUAAAACAGACUUACAUACAUGAUAAUCCAAAGUCGUGUAUAUCAAUACAUACAUUUAUUUGAUUUUUUUACUUAAUUUUAUACAGUUUAUUUUAUUCAAUGACUGUUGUUGAAAUGGAGACACAACAUUGCUUUCCUUUUUG
ensembl:lncRNA